rnacentral:rRNA from 1 species
AGUCGAACGGUAGCAGGUCUUCGGAUGCUGACGAGUGGCGGACGGGUGAGUAACGCGUAGGAAUCUGCCUUGUAGUGGGGGACAACUUGUGGAAACGCAAGCUAAUACCGCAUACGCCCUAAGGGGGAAAGGAGGGGAUCUUCGGACCUUUCGCUAUAAGAUGAGCCUGCGUUGGAUUAGCUAGUUGGUGGGGUAAAGGCCUACCAAGGCGACGAUCCAUAGCUGGUCUGAGAGGACGAUCAGCCACACUGGGACUGAGACACGGCCCAGACUCCUACGGGAGGCAGCAGUGGGGAAUAUUGGACAAUGGGCGAAAGCCUGAUCCAGCAAUACCGCGUGUGUGAAGAAGGCCUUAGGGUUGUAAAGCACUUUCAAUUGGGAGGAAAAAAUAACAGUUAAUACCUGUUGUCUUGACAUUACCUUUAGAAGAAGCACCGGCUAACUCCGUGCCAGCAGCCGCGGUAAU